AAACAUUGAAAAAGAAAAUUGUAUUCGUCAUUUGUAGUACUUCUAGGCCGAUCAUAGACCUCAACUAGUUAACGCAAAAAGACUGAAAUGGAUUUCGCUUUAUUCAUACUAACUAUUUCUGCGUUAAUAAAUAUUAUUAAAGGUAGGUUAAAUGCACACAAAAAUAUUUUAUAAAUUAUUUAUGUGAUAUUUCAUUUUUUUUUUAUCUCAUUUCAAGGGCUUUGAAUUGAACGAUCAAUCAAUAAAUAAUAAACAAUUUAAAAAUGAUAGGAUAUCAACACUUCAGUCAUAUAGAACGUUAAUUCGAGUAUUCUUUGUUUUACAUUACUAGUAUAAUAAACAAAUGAAUAAUUGUUAUAGUAAAGGUUUCGUAUACAAAGAAAUUCGGAAACUUGAAACAACUUUAUAUGCCUUCUCAUUUAUUUUCUAGGACAUAAGGGUCCCAUAUCAAUCUUAAUAUUCGAUUUUGUAAUCACAGGACAUCAUACAGGCAUUUAUUUUAUCAUACAACUUUAUAGGCUUUACAUGAUGAGUGCAAUUUCGCAUUACUAAAAGACGUGUCAGGGUACUUGUUAUUCAAUUUGAAUGUAUUUAGUAAUGAUGUUGUAUUUGUAAUUCUGAUCGGAUAUUAUCAAAUGUCUUAUCGUUUAUAGAGUUGUACGUCUUAUUUUUCAAUUUUCUAUUCGUAUGUAAAAUUAAAGAUAAAUAAUCACCCAGUUCAUCUAUACUAUUUUAGUUUGGUGCAACUAUGCGUACACGAUUAUAUGUUUUACAGUUUGGUUUAGAAGAAAUACCGACAUGGCUAGAUAAAACAAUUCAUUAUCUAAGGAUUUUCUAAGACCAGACAGAGAUUACCUUUAACGUAUUUGGCAUAAUUUUUGGGAAUUGUGCUCUUCAACUUUUUACUUGUUUGACUUUCUUCACUAUUUUGAUCUGAGCGUCACUGGUGAAUCUUAUGUAGACGAAACGCAUGUAUGAUGUAUUAAAUUAUAAGCCUGGUACCUUUGAUAACUAUUAGCUCGCCACAGUCCUAUUUUAGUGUUUAUUUGUGUUUUUCUCUGUCAUGAAUGGUCUUACCUUAAUUGUACUGUAGUCCUGUCAUGUAAGGUUGUCAUUUUAGUGUUAAAAGGGCGAGGUUUGGCUAGCCACAAAACCAGGUUUAACCCACCAUUUUUUCUGAAAAUGUCAUGUACCACGUCAGGAAAAUGGCAGUUGAUCAUAUCGUAUCAAAAUUUUAACUUUUUGGAUUAUACCUAUUUUACAUUUCAACAAAGUCUGACGAAUACGUUAAAAUUAUAUUCGAUACAAAGAUAUUCAUUGAUAACGCCGUUCUUUUUUUUUUUUUGUAUAUUUUAUUUUUUUAAACGUGUUCUUAGUUGAUAGAAAACGGCAAUUGUGAUUUUCAAUUUAUUAAAUGGUGUUUUACUAUUCUAUCAUACUCCGUAAUCCGUUGUUCACUAUAGAAACACUUCAUAUGAGUAACAAUCGUAUACGAACGACGUUUUAUAUUUACACUUUGAGACGACCCACUAUUUAUUUUCUUCCUGUAAGUGUAAAUUGUAAUCGUAAGUGUAUGACAGUUUCCGCAAAUGUCUACAACAUUAUAUUAAUAAUUUACAUUGCUUUAUUUCUUCAUUGAUGACACGUGUUCAGGAACAGGGUGUCAAUAUCGUUACUACCAUUGUACUGGAUAUAACUGGUGUUGUCCCAAUGGAUAUUAUUGUACAGGAACAUCUACAUGUAAUGUGAAUCCUUAUUCAUCAUCUUAUUCUUCUUCCAUCAGUUACUCGCGAAUUGGGUGAGUAGAUUACUUUUAAACUCAGGUAGUUUUCAACCAAAAUGUAACGACGGUUGAUUCAUACAUUUAAUGAUAUACAUGACAAUACCAAUACAAUAACAUGCAAUUGUCGCAAUAUUAUAUCGUUGGGAAAAAGUCCUUGAUUCUCAGUCUGUGUUGUGGAUGACCCUGUUAGAUCAUAAUUGUCAGUUCUUGUUUAUAAUACACAGCAAUUUGAACAAAGCAACUUUAAAGAUGUGUAUUAAGCCUAUUCGGGAGAAGAAGAUGAAUCCUUCUUUUACUUUUGUUAAAAAAUAGUUUAUCAAUAAGAUUAUCAAAAUGAUAAGUUAAAAAUGCCCGAUCAUACAAAUAUUAACUAAUUCUCGUUGAUAUAGUUAUCAAAUCUUCACCGUUAAAUAAACACACAAAGGGUAAACAUUAUUAUGUUGAAGUACAUCUUUGUCAGUAGGAAAUGAAAAUACCUUUUUAUUAACUUUGAAUGUUUAAAGUAAUCGAUUUGAAACUCUGUUAUGUAUAAAUCAAUUCAUGUUAUUUUUUUUUAGGUAUAUUGUUGGCGGCUGCAUAGCAGGCCUUGUUAUACUAAUUUGUAUAAUAGUUGCCGUGUGUAAAUCCAGUUGUAAGUUUAUAUUUUUCCAAACAAAGUGUGUCAACUUUGUUUAAUGUGUAUAUAUUUCCAAACGAAAGGCGUUUUAUAUCUUUUAUUGUAACAUCUAAAAAGCACAACGGCACAAAUUUUGAAAUAAAUGUGUUUGCAAAUUAUUGCAUAAUAAAAAUGAGAAUGGAAAUGGAGAAUGUGUCAAAGAGACAACAACCCGACCAAAUAAAAAACAACAACAGAGGGUCACCAACAGGUCUUCAAUGUAGCGAGAAAUUCCCGCACCCGAAGGCGUCCUUCAGCUGGACCCUAAACAAAUAUAUACUAGUCCAGUGAUAAUGAACGCCAUACUAAUUUCCAAAUUGUACACAAGAAACUAAAAUUAAAAUAAUACAAGACUAACAAAGGCCAGAGGCUCCUGACUUGGGACAGGCGCAAAAAUGCGGCGGGGUUAAACAUGUUUGUGAGAUCUCAACCCUCCCCCUAUACCUCUAACCAAUGUAGUAAAGUAAACGUAUAACAAUACGCACAUUAAAAUUCAGUUCAAGAGAAAUCCGAGUCUGAUGUCAGAAGAUGUAACCAAAGAAAAUAAACAAAAUGACAAUAAUACAUAAGUUACAACAGACUACUAGCAGUUAACUGACAUGCCAGCUCCAGACUUCAAUUAAACUGACUGAAAGAUUAUGAUUUCAUCAUAUGAACAUCAGGCACAAUCCGUCCCGUUAGGGGUUUAGUUUCAUACCAUCAUAACAUAUAUGAGAAGAACAUAACCCGUGUCAUGCCAACAACUGUUUUUAGAAUAAAUGUGUUUAGUUCCGAUGCAAAGACCUUAUCAGUGACUCAAUAUUAACGCCAAAAUAUGCAAUCUUUAAUGACUUGACAACAGUAUCGUAAUUAUAUCCCUUCUUACACUACAAAAGUCUAAAAGUAUGAAAAGACCAGUUUUUGUCUUAAUUUGCAUGAAUUUUUACUCGACAUUCUCCAAAAGUAUGACUUGUGUCUUAAUUUUUCUUGACAAAUUCUCAUUUAUAUUAAAUUUGUAUUAAAUUUAAUCGACAUAUUCUCGACAUUCUGAAUAUUGUCUUAAAAUUUCUUGAAACUGCUAGUAGUCUUGAAAUUUCUCGACAUAUUCUUGACAUUCUUAUUUUUUAUCAGUAUGGCUUGACAUAUUCUGAACAUUUUGAAUUGUGUCUAAAAUUUACUUUACAGUUCUCAGCUCUACAAAUCAUGACCAAUAUACAUGAUAUAACUUUAUCUUUAUUUCUCUUUUUAUGAUAUACUGUUGUUUCAAGUUACACUUCUUACAAAAAAAAUAAAAGUUGAGCAUGUAAAAUAAUUGAAAAUUUGGAUAUAUAAAUAUUUUUACAAAUGCAAAUAUGGUUAUGAAAUCUUAAGUAUGAAAUAAUUUAAAUGUGGGUUUUUAAAUAAUUACAAAUUUUGAAUCCUAAAUCUUAUAAAUUAAAUGAUUAAACCAAUCAUACUGUAGACAUAUUUCAUUACACAUUCAUAAUACUCAAUUUUUAUAUGAUAAAUAAUUAUUGUACCAAAAUGUGGUUUAUAUAAAUAGCAAAUCAUGAUGAUAUACAAAUCAUUCAUUUAAUAAAAGAACAAUUUGUGUAAUGUCACCUGUUGGAAUACACAUGAACAGGAUGUUCCCCAUAAUAUUAAGGUAUUCCACACCCAAGAGUACAUGCAACUGUUACAUAGAAAUUACUGAUUUACCUGUUAUCAGCCAUACAACUUAUCAGUCUACUGACCAUGCCAGUACAAUUUAAAAGUUUGUUGAUAGAUGAAAAUGAAAAUCAUCAUUUUGAUGAUGAAAAAUUGAAUUAAAAUGAAUGUUCUUCAUCAAAAUUAUGAAGUUAAUUAUUUUAACAUAAAAACAAAUUGAAUAAUUCCCAAAGAUUAAAAAUGAAUUAUUAUCUACUCCGGGAAUAAUAAGUCUGUUCACAUUUUAGGCGAAAUUUAUACUGUUGAGAUAGUGUCAAGACAUAUUUAAGACUGUCAAGAAUGUGUCGAGACAUAUUCAGACAUUAUUUAGAAUGUCAGGAAUAUGUCAAGACAUAUUCAGACAUUAUUAAGAAUGUCAAGAAUAUGUCAAGACAUAUCGAGACAAAUUUAAGACAGUCAAGAAUUGGUCGAGACUAAUCCAGACUCUUAUCAGAUGAUACAGGAAGUGUCGAGAAAUUUUAAGACAAUGUUCAUACUGUCAAGACACUUGUCAAGAAAAAUCAAGAACCUCAUUAGACAAAUUCAUACUAUGUCAAGAAUUUUUAAAAAUUAUUCAGGCAAAUUAAGAAUGUCGAGUAAAAAUUCAUGCUUAUUCAGACAAAAACUGGUCCUUUCAGACUUUUUUACUUUUGUAGUGUUAAUAAGUCUAUUCAAAGGUUUUGUAAGUUUCUGAGGUGAAUACUGACACCUUUGUGCUUUAUAAAGAAUAUUAUCAUAAAAAAUUGGAUGUGAAAUACCUGAACGUAUUAGAAGUCUGCAUGUUGAGCUAUAUUUACGAAUGAUGUCUUUAUACCGAUGAUAAAAUUUAGUAAAUGUUUUGACUAGUUUGUGAUAUCGAAAACCCUGGUGUAAUACUUUUUCAGUAAUACAUAAAUUUCUCUCGUUAAAAUCUAAAACAUUGUUACAUACACGAGCGAAUCGUACAAGUUGAGAUAUAUAAACACCAUAAGAUGGUGACAAGUGAACGUCACCAUCUAAAAACGGAUAAUUAACGAUAGGAAAUGAAAAAUCAUCCCUUUUAUCAUAAAUUUUAGUAUUCAGCUUUCCAUUAGUGAUAUAGAUAUCAAGAUCGAGAAAAGGGGAGUGGUCAUUGUUAGUAUUAGCUUUAUUUAAAGUAAGUUCAACAGGAUAAAUUUCAUUAAUAUACAUACUGAAGUCGUCAGUAUUGAGAGCCAAAAUGUCAUCCAAAUAUCUAAAAGUAUUAUUAAAUUUGUUUAUCAGAUGUUGUUUCGAUGGGUCUUUGCUUAUUUUUGUCAUAAAUUGUAACUCAUAACAAUACAAAAACAGGUCCGCAAUAAGUGGUGCACAGUUAGUCCCCAUUGGAAUUCCGAUAAUCUGACGAUAUACGGAAUUUCCAAAGCGAACAAAAAUGUUAUCUAGUAAAAAUUCAAGGGCAUAUAUGUAUCAAAGCAUGUCCAAUUAACAUAGUUUUUUUGUUUAUUACUACUAAAAAAUGACCUAAAGAGUUUGAACAUAAUAUUCACAUUCUGAUUUUUGAAUGCCCAUUUAAUUAGGUGUGUGAAUUUUUUCUUAAUGAGAAUGUGAGGCAAUGUGGUAUACAGGGUAGAAAAAUCAAAACUUUGAAACAGAUUCAAAAUCACCAAUAUAAGCAUGCAAUUUAUCAAGUACUUCCAACGAGUUCUUGACACUCCAAAAGUAAAUUAUUCCACUAUUUCGAAGGCUUAUUUGAACAUUUAUUAUCAGGUUUUGAAUUGUACCAAGUGUGCUGGUAAGAAGAAUAGACAAUUUAGUAGUUGAACAAUGGCUUGAAGACGAAAAAAAUCUAUAUUUGUAAGGGUUUUGUGUAGCUUCGGAAGCAAUACAUAGUUGGGAUUUUCAUUGUAUUUGGCUCUGCUUGUAAAGCGGUGGCUAAAAGUUUAUGUUUGUAACAGAUUUCGUUUUCUGAAAAUGGAGUCAGUUGGAAUGUUGGUGAAUUGGUGAUUUCCUUUUUCAGAACCUCAAUGUAAAAUUUACGUCAAACAAUAAUAUUAUUAGCAGCUUUAUCUGCCGGGACAAAAACAAAUUCUUGGCUAGUUUCUUUUAGUUUAUGUUUGAUACGAGAAAUAGGUUUAUUGUGGUUAUUGUUUAUAGUAAAAUGUUCUUUAAAAUGUUGAAUACGUAUAUCAACUAUCUUCAUUACUGAAUUAAAAAAAGAAUCCAAAAUCCAUUUCAUACAGUAAGUAUGGAGUGAGUCGUGGAUGAUAAUACGACACUCAUUCCAAUUAAUAAUUGACGGGGGACGAUAUUUAGGUCCUUUACUGAGGAAUGAUUUUAACUCUCGGUCUUGAACGAUGUUAAGAUCUCCUGUUAUAACAUGGGAAAUGGGUGCAUAAAUAUAUUCGGAAUUACUGCAAUUACAUGAAGUAGGUGUAUUUUCACUGAUAUUAACAUCUUUACACAAUUGACUAUAAUUAAACACAAAUUUCCGGGUAGAUUUCUUGUAAAUAUAACAAAUGAGAGGUAGCUCAGUAUUGUCAAAAUAUCCAGGAAUUAGUUCUUUAACAGAAUGGUUGUUAAAUAUACCGGCAAUAUUUACAAAAUCAAAGCCUUUAUUGACAAUGUAUUUUAACAUUCGACAUGUUAAAUCAGAUGAAAAUAAAAAUUAUUGUCGAUAGACAAUUUCGCCGACACUAAAUAGAUGUGAUCAAGGAGAAAGUUUACAGCUUUUAUCGUCAUAUCAUAUUACAGUUUUGAUUCUAAUCAUUUGAAGUAUAAAUCAAUAAAAUACAAACAUGAUAACAGAACUCGCUUUUUAUUUCAUUUCGAGUAAAAACGUGAGGAACUCAAUUCAUAGACCAACAUUUACAUCAAUUAAGGUAUGACUUGGUAAAAUACAACACAAUCCUAUUUUAUAAAUGUCAUUCUUUUACUUCAUAUUUAGCUUUUUCAUUUUAACAGCUAAAUCUAGAAGAGUGAUUGCACCUCCAGCUGUUCGAAGAACAAUUGUAGUGGCAGCGAACACUGCACAGCCAACAAAUAUUGCCAACCAGCCUCCUUCUUAUAGCCAUAUGUAGACAAUACACAUUUGAUUGAUAAGCUUGUAUGACAUGGAACAAUUGAAAUUGUGUAUUAUUAUAUAUAUAUGUAAUACUGUCAAGUGCGAUUGGGACGCUAAAGUACGAUGGUCACGCGAAAGUGCGAUAGUCUGUGCUAAAGUGCGAUGCCUCCAUACGCUAAAGUCAGUUGGCUCGCGAAAGUAUAGACUAUAAAAACGCAGUUGGAUUAUGACGUUAACAGUUGUUUAUACAAACAAAAAGUGUACAUGCCGUAAGAUAAACUAAGACUACCACUUGAUCAACAUCUUUUUCAACCAAAUGUCUUUGACAUUAUUUCAAACUUAACUGUGCAAUGUCGACUGAAGCAAAUGUGGUUUUUAGUACUAAAAGAUGGACCUGUGUCCUGCAGCCGAUCUGGCAUUUUACUAUAUAGAUACAAAAUAGUAUGCACAUAGGUUUCCUGUGUCCUGUUCCUUUGGAAGCGAAACAGAUCAAAUUAUAUCAUUAUUUACGUUGCAGUUUAUUUUGCGGUCCCCGUUUAAAUAUUGUCGAUUUUAUUGAAAAGUGAUAUCAGUAAAAUAAAAGUUCCGUUUUUUAAGCAUAAAUACUAAAUUGUCGGCUACAACGGCAUAGUUUGUACAUUGUAGGAAAGUAUAACAUGUAUUGGUACUCGUUACAAAGAGGAAGAAAGCUUUGCGAAUAUUGCAUUUUUCUCGCAUUUAGAUUUAAGCUUAUAUAAAUGAAUAUUUCUUAUUUAAACAUUUUGUAUUUGUAAAUUACAAUGACGACUGUAAAUAAAAGGGGGAGGCGUUUAGAAUAUUGAUAAACUGUGUGAACGGCAAGCCGCGCCAAUCAUCCCAAUAUUUUAAAAAAACAAGACUGAAUUGUUAAAAAAAUGAUUUAACAGGAAAUACAGUAUUUUGUCACGCCUAAAUUAUAUUUUUUAAGCAAUUAUAACGUUUUUGGUCUUCUACAUACAACCACUUAAUCCUACAGUCCAGUAUAUCAUAAAUAGAUAUAGGAAGAUGUGGUGUGAGUGCCAAUGAGACAACUCUCCAUACAAAUAACAAUUUAAAAAGUAAACCAUUAUAGGUUAAAGUACGGCCUUCAACACGGAGCCUUAGCUCACACCGAACAACAAGCUAUAAAGGGCCCCAAAAUUACUAGUGUAAAACCAUUCAAACGGGAAAACCAACGGUCUAAUACAUGUAUCACAUAUGAUAUACCUCAGCAUACUUACUUUUGCAAAAAGACUAUUUUUCAAAAUGCAUGUAAUUUAACGUUUAAAUCCCCCAAACCUUACCCUAUUGGUGCAUUACCUAUUGGUGCAUUGCACUUUAGUGUUAUAUACCAUCGUACUUAAGAAACAAAAAACCAUCACACUGUAGCAUGAGACAUCAUCGUACUUUAGCGUAGACCAUCGCACUUUAAAGUACUAUCGCACUUUAGAGUCUGUCAUAUAUAUGAUUUCAGCUUUUCAAAUUUCAACUUUCCAUUCAUGAGGAACCACAUUGUCUUGUUAUGCUGUGGUCAUUUUUUGUAUUUUUGUCUUUUAAAUUUGUUGGUUUUUGUAUUGAUUAAUAUUUUAACACAAUGUUGAAUGCUGUAUCUCUAUUUUUGUGAUUUUUAUUUUGUUUACUGUCAAUAUAAUUUAAUUUUAUCAGUGUUGGCAACGAUUAACCUUUUAACGAUUAACCGUCGAAAGGACCGAAUAGUGAAUACCGAAACGAAACGCUCACCGGUUAACCGUUUCUUUUCAAUUUGUUUAGAUCUGGUAUUGAUAUAAUCGACUACCUACCGAAUUAGACUAUUUACCGUAUUUCACAACGGUGCCACAUGUGGAGCAGGAUCUGAUUACUUUCAGCAGCUCCUGAAAUCACCUACAGUUUUUGGUGGUGUUCGUGUUGCUCAUAAUUUCUUUUUCUAUGUUGUUUCGUAAGUACUAUUAUUUUCCUGUUGUCGUUUUAUUUUUAGUCAUUGCGUUGACAGUUUAUUUUCGAUUUAUGAGUUUAUUAUUUAUGACUGUUCCUCUGUUAUCUUUCGCCCCUCUUUUGAAAUCUAUAAUGUAUUUUGUUAACUUUCACGUGCUAAUUUAAAAGAACAAUUGUCCAGUUAAUUGAAUACUAAUUUAACUAAAAAACAUUCAAGUUUUAUAAAAUUUAUUAACACUUAUACGACUUAUUUCUCAGCUUGGGGCAGCCUCUUAAGUGAACAGAAUUAGCAUAUAUGU
rnacentral:lncRNA from 1 species